AAAAUUACCCAAAAAUGUUUGUCCAAAUUAAAUAUGCCGUUUCUCCGAAUCGGUGCCUGAAUCCCCUAAAAUAUUUCGGGAGCUUAAAGGGACCCCUAACCAUNAACACCUCGGCAUAUCGGUUUGAAAAUGGUGCUAUGUUAAAACGCAUAUGUUAAUCGGGGUCCAAAGUUGACCAUUUCCUGUGGGUUCCUUCACCGUGCGUUACUACCUACCGUUUACCACCGAAUGUUUAGCGAUGUUCCGGCUGGAAAAACUCUUAACGGAGUACACUGUCUAAAAGUAGACUUCACGAACCAUCUUUUGGUAAAAUAAAGGUUUUUCAAAUCUAUAAGCGUCUAUUCGUAAUCGGGGUCAAAAAAUAAUGUUUCGGUUGGUUACUGUGACGUUAUGCUAAUACUUAAAAAAUAUAUUUUUUGCGCCUCACAUCGAACAUUAUUGCACAUUUAUUGCUUAUCUAUUGUCUUCAAAUCAGUUUCACGCAUUUUAAGAACGAUUGGGCUCUUAUCAAAUAUUGCUAGUGGAACAUCCGUGUGUUUGAAUAAAAUUUGAUAUUAUUAUUAUAGUAUUUUUCAUGAAAUUAUGAAUUAUAGAAAUAUUAAAGAUGAUAUAAAAGAAAAUCUGACUAAGCUAAAUUAACUUAUAAAUUAUACGAUAGUAAAAAUCGACUGGGUCCUCUUCAGAGAAUAUUUAUAUACCUACAUUGUGGUAUUACGAUUUAUUGAUUUUUAGAACUGAAGAUGAGGAGCAGGAAUAUCAAGUAUUAAUGUAGUAGGUAAUAUUUUUAAAUGCACCUUUACCAAAUAAAUAAUUUACUUUAUUUUUUAUUUAAAAUUAUUAUGUAUAUUUUAUAUAAUAGUGGACUUCAAAGUUGUUAUCAGUUAAAUCAACUAUAGAAACACAUAAAAUAUAAGCAGAUAAAAAAAACAAAUAAGAAAUAAUUCCUACAUUAUUUUAAGUACCUACUCUAUAUCUGCUUGUAUAUGAAUCAAUUAUUAUUUUAAAUUAUGUAUAACACAUUUCCAAUGUCUACAAGUCUAUAGUGUAUAGGCACAUGUUUAGAUAUUAAAAAUUAAUUCGUUUUCAUAUUUUUAUAGGGAAAUUCCAAUAAAUGAACAGGACAAGAAUCUACAAGUGUUAGCAUUAAAAGUUGUAAUGAAGUAUCAAUUGACAUGUUUAAAAUGGAAAAAAUCAUAAAAGUGAAUGACAAAGAAGAAAAAAGUAAAUAUCAAUGUGGCAAGUAUCUUUUGAGUACGUAUUUUUCUCUCUUUUGUCUAAUCUCACCCCCUAAAUUUAUCCACACGCAAAAGAAAAAUAAGGUACAACAAAUUUUGGUUCAGUAUAUUUAUGUUAACUCAACUUUAAUUUAAAAUUUGGAUAUAUACUCAUAAUAAGGGCACGGAUGUUGUUUCAUUUGCAACUUUUUUUCCAUAUUUUCAAUUUAUUGCUAAGUAAGUUUCAAAUAUGUUUCAUGUAGUUGACACUCGACAAUCGUGUAGAUAAGAUUAUAAUAAAACAGGGAUGGGCAUCCCAAAUGUACUAGAGAACCAGUUUUUGAUAAUUAAAAUCUAUGCGAGCCAGAGCAUAGGAAAAAAAAAUCAUUCAAAAUAUAUAUGUAUUUAAAUUAGUAUUUAUUUAGCAUAAUUUGAAUUAACAGUAAAAACAAAACAAGGUUAUUGAAAAUAAUUAAAUUAAAUUAAAUAUAAAUAACACUAUUACUAUUUGUUCAAUGUGAGAUUUGUCACAGCUAAUGAUAACGCAGCAAAAUCGAUUACUAUUUCAGAAGNAUCUAUAAGCGUCUAUUCGUAAUCGGGGUCAAAAAAGAAUGUUUAGGUUGGUUACUGUGACGUUAUGCUACUACUUAAAAAAUAUAUUUUUUUUUCGCCUCACAUCGUACAUUAUUGCACAUUUAUUGCUUAUCUAUCGUCUUCAAAUCAGUUUCACGCAUUUUAAGAACAAUUGGGCUCUCUUAUCAAAUAUUGCUAGUGGAACAUCCGUGUGUUUGAAUAAAAUUUUAUAUUAUUAUUAUAGUAUUUUUCAUGAAAUUAUGAGUUAUAGAAAUAUUAAAGAUGAUAUAAAAGAAAAUCUAACCAAGAUUAACUUAUCAAUUUAAAUUAACUUAUACAUAAUGCGAUAGUAAAAAUCGACUGUGUCCUCUUCAGAGAUUAUUAAUAUACCUACGUUGUGGUAUUACGAUUUAUUGACUUUUAGAACUGAAGAUGAGGAGUAGGAAUAUCAGGUAUUAAUGUAGUGAGUAAUAUUUUUAAGUGCACAUUUAUCAAAUAAAUAAUUUACCUUAUUUUUUAUUUAAAAUUAUUCUGUAUAUUUUAUAUAAUAGUGGGCUCCAAAGUUGUUAUCAGUUAAAUCAACUAUAGAAACACAUAAAAUAUAAGCAAAUAAAAAAAAACAAAUAAGAAAUAAUUCCUACAUUAUUUCAAGUAUCUACAACAUACCUGCUUGUAUAUGAAUCAAUUAUUAGUUUUACAUUAUGUAUAACACAUUUGCAAUGUCUACAAGUCUCUAUAGUGUAUAGGCACAUGUUUAGAUAUUAAAAAUUAAUUUGUUUUCAUAUUUUAAUAGGGAAAUACCAAUAAAUGUACAUUACAAGAAUCUACAAGUGUUGGCAUUGAUAGUUGUAAUAAAGUAUCAACUGACAUGUUUGAAAUGGAAAAAUUCAUAAAAGUGAAUGACGAAGAAGAAAAAAGUAAAUAUCAUUGUGGCAAUUAUCUUUUGAGUACGUAUUUUUCUCUCUUUUGUCCAAUCUCACCGCCUAAAUUUAUCCACACGCAAAAGAAAAAUAAGGUACAACAAAUUUUGGUUCAGGAUAUUUAUGUUAACUCAACUUGAAUUUAAAAUUUGAAUACAAUCUCAUAAUAAGAGUACGGAUGUUGUUUCAUUUGCAACUUUUUUUCCAUCUUUUCAAUUUAUUGCUAACUAAGUUUCAAAUACGUUUCAUGUAGUCGACACUCGACAAUCGUGUAGAUAAGAUUAUACUAAAACAGGGAUGGGCAUCCCAAAUGUACUAAAGGGCCAGUUUUUGACAAUUAAAAUCUAUGCGAGCUAGAGCAUAGCAAAAAGAAAAAAAAAAUUAUUCAAAGUAUAUAUGUAUUUAAAUUAGUAUUUAUUUAGCAUAAUUUGAAUUAACAGUAAAUAUAAAGAAAGGUUAUUGAAAAUAAUUAAAUUAAAUAAAAUAAAAAUAACACUAUUACUACUUGUUCAAUGUGACAUUUGUGACUGCUAAUGAUAACGCAGCAAAAUCGAUUACUAUUUCAGAAGUGGAAACACAAAGUAGGUGACUUAAUGUUUCAUCAGUAAGACAAUUUUUUUGCUUUGAUUUUAUAUGUUUCAUAUUUGAAAAUGUACAUUCACAAAUGUAGGUAGUUCCAAAUAUGGAUAACAUUUUUAACGCAAACUCUCAUAAAAGAGGAUAUUUGUUAACAGGUAAUUUUUUUCAAAAGCUUACAUCAAUAUCUUUCGUGGAUAAUAAUGAGUCAGUUUGCAACUCGCAUAAUUCUGAUUGAAGUGCAGCAUCUUGCUUUUCAAUUUCAACUGCCAUUGGAUUAUUAAACAAAUUUAUUUGAGGACGCGUAAGUUCAACUUCUUCAAAUCGUCUUUCGAAUUCUACAGUUAAUUCAUGCCAGUGGGUAAUGCAAUUUUCAAAAUUGAACUCGUUAAAAUGUUGAGAAAUAUUAGUUAAAAAUGCCAAUUAACAUAGAAAUUGUUUAUCAAUCAUUUAGUUUUCUAAAUAAGUGGUUUCAGUUGUACUAUUCGUUUAGGAAACUCAAGUAUUUCUUUUCUCAAAACAAAAUAUCGUUCGAGACACUUUCCACUACUAAGUUUCUGUAAAUAUGUAAUAAAAUUACGAAUUGCACUAUCAGUGUCAGUUAUACCCGUGGUCUUCAAUCAGUGGGUCGCGACCCAUUUUUGGGUUUUCUUUUUAAAAUAAAAUUAAGUUUGAAAAUUAUUGUAAUAUAUUAUGUUAUAAACAAUAUUAUAUAAUUUAUAUUCAAAAAUAUAAUAAUAUAAUGGAUUUCAAAUCACAGUAUUUGUUUUGUAAACUGGUAUGUUUUUAUUUAGUAUGACAUUAAAAAUAAGAGUUAACCAGGCUAAUAAUAAAACAAAUAUAUUAUAUUAUUAUCGUUAGGAUGUUGUCGCUGUGUUUAAAGAUGAAUAAAUGUUAGUCGUGUUAUUGUUCUAAUCAUAUUUAUGUAUCCGUUAAAAAGUUUUUUUUAUUUUUAUUUAUUUAUUUAUAACAAUACUACUACAAAGUAUUAAGUAAUUUUAGAUGUUUUGUUUUUUUGUUUUUCUACAAACAUUUUUCUUUAUGUAUGCCUUUUAUAGGUCGCGAAUAAUGUAUGCUUAAAAAAGUGGGUUGCCAAUAAUGUUCGCCUAAAAAAGUGGGAUGUGAGUCCAAAAAGGUUGAAGACCAUUGAGCUAAAAGACAUGUCACUGUGCAUCUUGAAAGUGAUAUUUUUUUAAAUUCACUAGCAAUUUUGUUUUAAUUUAUUGUUUCAGUCAUUUUUAUUGCACAGUUUUUAACAAAUUCGUCAUCACUCAACGAGUUUUUAGAUUUUGCUAUUUCAUUAGAAAUAAUAUAUGAAGCUACUAAACUGGAUUGUUGUGAAGUUGUUGUUGUUGUUGUCAUCACAUUUUGUUAUAAUUGAAGUUUUCUUUUCCGAUCAAUUAUAACACUCUCUCUUGCAUAUCACCAAUGUAUUUUUCAUAUUUAGACAAAUAAUUUGUCAUGUAAUGUCUUUUUAAAUUAUAUUUUUUUAGUACUGCAAUAAUAUUUAAACAAACUAAACAUUGAGGGUUUUUUGUUAAUAAUAAAUAAAUAUUCAUUUUCUUAUAAUCUGUUGCAUAGGCCAAUUGCCCAUCCCUGUACUAUAAUAUUGCCAGCUAUAAAAUCUAGUAAUGGUAUCAUAUUCUUAUUUUGAUAAUUCCAAGUCGGUAGGUAUUCAAUACAAUACAAAAAUAAUUUGUGAAAUGUGACUGUUUGACUGUUAUAAUCUGUUUUUCAGUCACUCGAUGAAUUUUGAGUGAUUGUGUUCUGUUAUUAUGCUGAAAAUUAAGCUAACUAUUUCCAUUUUUGUAAAAAAAAUUGUUCCUUUUUAGGAAGGAAUCAAUUCCAAUAGUUUUUUGUCACUACAAUAUCCUUGCAGAUGAGUAUUAAAUAAUAAUAAAAAUUAAAAAUUUGUUUAGUAUAAGAAGAAAAACCUUAAGCCUGGUCCAAAAUAAAGUAACUCGGUGUUUUCAAGUAUUGCCAUUUGUUUUUGUUUUCUUGAAACAAACAUUAACAUUUAUAAACAUGCUGUUCACAUCUUAUCAACAAAUUUGGAUGUAUAUUGGAAAGUAGAAGAGACACUAUUACGAAAAUUGGGUAAGAUGAUCAACAUAAAUAAUCAUUAAUUUGUGAUAUACCUAUUGUCAGGUGUUUGUGAUUAAACUUAAUAAAACUAUUUUUUUUUGUUCACAGUCCAACAAGUAAUGAUGAAAUGUACAACUUAUAUAUUAUGUACUGAGUGGAAGCAGAGGUGAAUAGUCUACUGCUUACUGUUAAGUUUUCUAUGUAGGGACUUCUACAUGACAAAAUUGUAAUUAUUUUUAUCAAUUCACCACCUGAGUGGACAGUUUUCCAUUUAAUAGUGNAAAAAAUUAAAAAAAAAAAAAAAAAAAAAAAAAAAAAAACAUAGGAAGCUGAAUGAGAAAAUAUAAGAAUUGUAUAAAUAUCAUUAAAUCAUAUUAUCAUAAUGGUUCAACAUUGACAAAUUACCAACUGAAAUAAUAAUUAUAAAAUGAUUUUUUAUUUAUUUUGACAUACAAAUCCAAAACAAUAAAAUAUAUGUUUUUCCAGUUCAUUUGUUUGAAUUUAAUAUUUAUUUCUUAAAAGUUAAAUUCACUCUUGUAGGUAAACAUAAAUACAUAAUUACAAGUAUUAUUAAUACAAAUAUUGAUUAAACAUUUCACAUUAAAAUAAAAUAUGAUGUAUUGUAUAGGUAGGUAUAUUUAAUACUGAACAUUAAAUAGGAUAAUUAAUUGAUCAUUUUUUGUUUAAAUUUUAAAAUUCCCAAAACAAAUUUAAAACCAAAAUUAGCACCUAUAUCUUAAUUAUUUAAAUAUAGCCUAGAUAUUUUCUUUUCUUUAACCUAAUUUUUUUUACAGAAAACUAAUUUGAUGAGGGGGUUUAAAUUCAUGAACUACAAUAAAUAUCCAUUUUUGUUUAUUUAUCAAAACUUUAAAUAUUCUAUAGAAAUAAACAUUUGUUCAUUGUUCAAUUAUAUCAUAUAUGUAUUGAUUAAGUUAAAAUAAUGUGAGACCUUUAAUUACUAGCUCUGACCAACUAAAGAAUAUAACAAAAACAUGUUUAUUCAGACUGAUUAUAAUUAAUUUAGUUUUAGUUUUAAAGCACCUAAUUAUAAAACUAAAAGUGGAUAAUAUUCUGGAGAACACCUUGUUGCCAUCAUUUUAAACGUGAUGUACAUUAUUAUGAAAUGUUUUAAUAUUUUAAAAUUACUGUAAAUUUUUUAAAUGUUUAUUUUAUUUUAACCACAGUAUGGUGCCCUACUAAAUAUUAGUCUUCUUUUAGUUUUAUAGCAAGUGCUUUUAUUCUAAAACUAAAAUUAAACAAGGUUUACUCAGUCUGUAUUAUAAUAUUUUUGCUAUGUUGCUUAUUAAUUGGACUGAAAUAAUACAUAAGGGUAACAUAUCAUGUCCUUUUAAUAACUAGACAUAUUUAAUAUAACCUACCAUUUGAAGGAUUACUUUUAAAUUUUGAGAGUUUGAAACUCAUUUCUAAGUAUUAUUGUAUUAAUACUUGUACCAGUUGCAAAUCUGUCAUCAGUGGGAUAUUUUUAGAAAAUAUAAAAUAUUUUGAACAAAAAUAAUAAUGACUAGUAAAUUGUAUGUUGAGAUACUACACAUUGGUAUUAAGUACUUACCUAUAUUAAUAGUGUUGCAUGAUUUAUAAAUUAAUUGUGUAUAAUUAACAGUUAAUCAAAAUUGUUGAAAUUAAUUGUGUCAAGGUGUCAUAUAAGAAUAACUUAUAGAAAUUAAUAUAAAAAAUAAAUAUAUGUACUAAGGUAUCUUUUGGUGAUAGAAUUGUAUGAUCUUUAAUUAUUACUUUGUUUUGUAAAAUGGUAACUUUAAUAAUACCAAUUUGAUNCUACUACAUUUUUGAUAAGGAAUACCUAGGGAAUAAGGAAUUCAUACCAUCAAAUAUGUAGGUGUAGAAUAUGCACUAUAGUGUAAAUUCCAUGUAAAAUAGUGUACGUUUUAAUUACAUUUUAAAAAUGUACAAGUUAAUUAUAGGUAUUUAUCUACUUUGGAAUUGAUUUAUUUAUUUAACUGAGGAAACAAGAACAUUUCCUUUAUGUACUUAUGACUAAUGAUAUUUGAUGUACAUAAUAUUAUUUGUACACUAAAUAAAUGUGUAAAUAUAUCUGUCAAGUAUAUAUUGGUGUAUGAUUAAAAAAAAGGUAAAGCAGUUAAACUUCCACUUGAAAAUAAUAGUAUGCCAUUGUUGUCCACAUUGACUACUCAGUUUCCAUGAACGAAUGGCCUGAUAUUUCACACUGAAAAUAAAUGAUGGUGAGUUCCAUGUAUUUGACAUGUUAUUUAAAUUAAUACUGAACUGGGUUAUAAGUGCACUUUUCAAUGGAAGCACUUGCAUAUAAAAUCGCCAGUAAUGCUCUAGUAGGUAGUUUGUGGUCCUAUUUCAAUAGUAUUGCAAAUUAGGCACUCUC